CAGUCGCCACGGUAAUACGAAGGGUGCAAGCGUUAAUCGGAAUUACUGGGCGUAAAGCGUGCGUAGGCGGUUUGUUAAGUCUGUUGUGAAAUCCCCGGGCUCAACCUGGGAAUGGCAAUGGAUACUGGCAAGCUAGAGUGUGUCAGAGGAUGGUGGAAUUCCCGGUGUAGCGGUGAAAUGCGUAGAGAUCGGGAGGAACAUCAGCGGCGAAGGCGGCCAUCUGGGACAACACUGACGCUGAGGCACGAAAGCGUGGGGAGCAAACAGGAUUAGAUACCCCUGUAGUCCCUGUCUCUUAUAC
rnacentral:rRNA from 1 species